rnacentral:rRNA from 1 species
UACAGAGGGGGCGAGCGUUGUUCGGAAUUACUGGGCGUAAAGGGCGCGUAGGCGGGCUGUCAAGUCUGGGGUGAAAUCCCACGGCUCAACCGUGGAACUGCCUUAGAUACUGACGGCCUCGAGGGAGAUAGGGGCGAGCGGAACUGUGAGUGGAGCGGUGAAAUGCGUUGAUAUUCACAGGAACUCCGGUGGCGAAGGCGGCUCGCUGGAUCUUUUCUGACGCUGAGGCGACGAAAGCCUAGGGGAGCAAACGGG